rnacentral:rRNA from 1 species
UUAAGCGACUAAGCGUACGCGGUGGAUGCCCUGGCAGUCAGAGGCGAUGAAGGACGUGCUAAUCUGCGAUAAGCGUCGGUAAGGUGAUAUGAACCGUUAUAACCGGCGAUUUCCGAAUGGGGAAACCCAGUGUGAUUCGUCACACUAUCAUUAACUGAAUCCAUAGGUUAAUGAGGCGAACCGGGGGAACUGAAACAUCUAAGUACCCCGAGGAAAAGAAAUCAACCGAGAUUCCCCCAGUAGCGGCGAGCGAACGGGGAGCAGCCCAGAGCCUGAAUCAGUGUGUGUGUUAGUGGAAGCGUCUGGAAAGGCGCGCGAUACAGGGUGACAGCCCCGUACACAAAAUCGACACAUGCUGUGAGCUCGAUGAGUAGGGCGGGACACGUGGUAUCCUGUCUGAAGUAUGGGGGGACCAUCCUCCAAGGCUAAAUACUCCUGACUGACCGAUAGUGAACCAGUACCGUGAGGGAAAGGCGAAAAGAACCCCGGCGAGGGGAGUGAAAAAGAACCUGAAACCGUGUACGUACAAGCAGUGGGAGCACAGAGCAAUCUGUGUGACUGCGUACCUUUUGUAUAAUGGGUCAGCGACUUAUAUUCUGUAGCAAGGUUAACCGAAUAGGGGAGCCGAAGGGAAACCGAGUCUUAACUGGGCGUUAAGUUGCAGGGUAUAGACCCGAAACCCGGUGAUCUAGCCAUGGGCAGGUUGAAGGUUGGGUAACACUAACUGGAGGACCGAACCGACUAAUGUUGAAAAAUUAGCGGAUGACUUGUGGCUGGGGGUGAAAGGCCAAUCAAACCGGGAGAUAGCUGGUUCUCCCCGAAAGCUAUUUAGGUAGCGCCUCGUGAAUUCAUCUCCGGGGGUAGAGCACUGUUUCGGCAAGGGGGUCAUCCCGACUUACCAACCCGAUGCAAACUGCGAAUACCGGAGAAUGUUAUCACGGGAGACACACGGCGGGUGCUAACGUCCGUCGUGAAGAGGGAAACAACCCAGACCGCCAGCUAAGGUCCCAAAGUCAUGGUUAAGUGGGAAACGAUGUGGGAAGGCCCAGACAGCCAGGAUGUUGGCUUAGAAGCAGCCAUCAUUUAAAGAAAGCGUAAUAGCUCACUGGUCGAGUCGGCCUGCGCGGAAGAUGUAACGGGGCUAAACCAUGCACCGAAGCUGCGGCAGCGACGCUUAUGCGUUGUUGGGUAGGGGAGCGUUCUGUAAGCCUGCGAAGGUGUGCUGUGAGGCAUGCUGGAGGUAUCAGAAGUGCGAAUGCUGACAUAAGUAACGAUAAAGCGGGUGAAAAGCCCGCUCGCCGGAAGACCAAGGGUUCCUGUCCAACGUUAAUCGGGGCAGGGUGAGUCGACCCCUAAGGCGAGGCCGAAAGGCGUAGUCGAUGGGAAACAGGUUAAUAUUCCUGUACUUGGUGUUACUGCGAAGGGGGGACGGAGAAGGCUAUGUUGGCCGGGCGACGGUUGUCCCGGUUUAAGCGUGUAGGCUGGUUUUCCAGGCAAAUCCGGAAAAUCAAGGCUGAGGCGUGAUGACGAGGCACUACGGUGCUGAAGCAACAAAUGCCCUGCUUCCAGGAAAAGCCUCUAAGCAUCAGGUAACAUCAAAUCGUACCCCAAACCGACACAGGUGGUCAGGUAGAGAAUACCAAGGCGCUUGAGAGAACUCGGGUGAAGGAACUAGGCAAAAUGGUGCCGUAACUUCGGGAGAAGGCACGCUGAUAUGUAGGUGAAGUCCCUCGCGGAUGGAGCUGAAAUCAGUCGAAGAUACCAGCUGGCUGCAACUGUUUAUUAAAAACACAGCACUGUGCAAACACGAAAGUGGACGUAUACGGUGUGACGCCUGCCCGGUGCCGGAAGGUUAAUUGAUGGGGUCAGCGCAAGCGAAGCUCUUGAUCGAAGCCCCGGUAAACGGCGGCCGUAACUAUAACGGUCCUAAGGUAGCGAAAUUCCUUGUCGGGUAAGUUCCGACCUGCACGAAUGGCGUAAUGAUGGCCAGGCUGUCUCCACCCGAGACUCAGUGAAAUUGAACUCGCUGUGAAGAUGCAGUGUACCCGCGGCAAGACGGAAAGACCCCGUGAACCUUUACUAUAGCUUGACACUGAACAUUGAGCCUUGAUGUGUAGGAUAGGUGGGAGGCUUUGAAGUGUGGACGCCAGUCUGCAUGGAGCCGACCUUGAAAUACCACCCUUUAAUGUUUGAUGUUCUAACGUUGACCCGUAAUCCGGGUUGCGGACAGUGUCUGGUGGGUAGUUUGACUGGGGCGGUCUCCUCCUAAAGAGUAACGGAGGAGCACGAAGGUUGGCUAAUCCUGGUCGGACAUCAGGAGGUUAGUGCAAUGGCAUAAGCCAGCUUGACUGCGAGCGUGACGGCGCGAGCAGGUGCGAAAGCAGGUCAUAGUGAUCCGGUGGUUCUGAAUGGAAGGGCCAUCGCUCAACGGAUAAAAGGUACUCCGGGGAUAACAGGCUGAUACCGCCCAAGAGUUCAUAUCGACGGCGGUGUUUGGCACCUCGAUGUCGGCUCAUCACAUCCUGGGGCUGAAGUAGGUCCCAAGGGUAUGGCUGUUCGCCAUUUAAAGUGGUACGCGAGCUGGGUUUAGAACGUCGUGAGACAGUUCGGUCCCUAUCUGCCGUGGGCGCUGGAGAACUGAGGGGGGCUGCUCCUAGUACGAGAGGACCGGAGUGGACGCAUCACUGGUGUUCGGGUUGUCAUGCCAAUGGCACUGCCCGGUAGCUAAAUGCGGAAGAGAUAAGUGCUGAAAGCAUCUAAGCACGAAACUUGCCCCGAGAUGAGUUCUCCCUGACUCCUUGAGAGUCCUGAAGGAACGUUGAAGACGACGACGUUGAUAGGCCGGGUGUGUAAGCGCAGCGAUGCGUUGAGCUAACCGGUACUAAUGAACCGUGAGGCUUAACCUU